UACGAAGGGUGCAAGCGUUACUCGGGAUUACUGGGCGUAAAGCGUGCGUAGGUGGUGAGUUAAGUCUGUCGUGAAAGCCCCGGGCUCAACCUGGGAAUGGCGAUGGAUACUGGCUCGCUAGAGUGCGGUAGAGGAGAGUGGAAUUCCCGGUGUAGCAGUGAAAUGCGUAGAGAUCGGGAGGAACAUCAGUUGCGAAGGCGGCUCUCUGGACCAGCACUGACACUGAGGCACGAAAGCGUGGGGAGCAAACAGG
rnacentral:rRNA from 1 species